GGGCCCGUCGCCUAGUCAGGAUAGGGCGCUGGCCUCCGGAGCCAGUUGCCGUGGGAUCGAAGCCCACCGGGCCCG
rnacentral:tRNA from 1 species